rnacentral:rRNA from 1 species
AUGAUUGCUGGGUAUAACCAAUGCAAUCUCCUAAUGGCCUUGCAACUUCUUUCUGACAUUAACCUUAAGCCCAACUGCUUCACCCUGACUAGCAUUGCAUCUGCAUGUGCUAGUAUUGCAGCUCUGAGACUUGGGAGUUGGGAAGCAGGUCCAUGGGGCUUUCCGAAACCUAAGAAAGAUGUUUACGUGUGUGCCAUCGAUCUCCUUGCUCGUGCAGGGACGCUGAGACAUGCAUUUGACCCUAUUGAUAAAAUGCAAUUUGCUCCUGAUGAAUCUUUUUGCGGAGCAUUAGUUGCCUGCAAGAUGCACAGGAAUGUGGAGCUGGGCAGCUUGGUUGCAAGGAAGAUCAUCGAGGUCAAUCCUGAUGGAGCAAAGAAUUACGUCCUACUUGAUAUGCUGCAGGUAGCAAAUGGGGUGAGUAUGGUGUCACGAGGAGGCUACUGA